rnacentral:rRNA from 1 species
UACAGAGGGUGCGAGCGUUGUCCGGAAUCACUGGGCGUAAAGGGCGCGUAGGUGGUGGCUUAAGCGUGCGGUGAAAGCUCGGAGCUCAACUCCGAGUCGGCCGUGCGAACUGGGCUCACUGGAGCAUAGUAGAGGCAGGUGGAAUUCCGGGUGUAGCGGUGGAAUGCGUAGAGAUCCGGAAGAACACCGGUGGCGAAGGCGGCCCGCUGGGCAGUGGCUGACGCUGAGGCGCGACAGCGUGGGGAGCAAACAGG